rnacentral:rRNA from 1 species
CAGUCGCCGCGGUAAAACGAACCGUGCGAACGUUAUUCGGAAUCAUUGGGCUUAAAGCGCGUGUAGGCGGAUGGGAACGUCGGUCGCUGAAAUACCCCGGCUCAACCGGGGAACUGGCGUCGAAACGACCCGUCUCGAGGGGCAUAGGGGGAGCUGGAACUUCCGGUGGAGCGGUGAAAUGCGUUGAGAUCGGAAGGAACGCCCGUGGCGAAAGCGAGCUCCUGGAUGUCUUCUGACGCUGAGACGCGAAAGCGUGGGGAGCGAACAGGAUUAGAUACCCCGGUAGUCCCUGUCUCUUAUA